rnacentral:rRNA from 1 species
AGCUCCAAUAGCGUAUAUUAAAGUUGUUGCAGUUAAAAAGCUCGUAGUUGGAUUUCUGUCUGGAGCGUCCGGUCGGCUCUCUUUGAGAGUGUGUACUUUGUGAUGUUCGAGGCAUUUUUUGUGAGGAUGUCUUUCUGCCAUUAAGUUGGUGGUUGGAUAGACUUGCAUCGUUUACUGUGAAAAAAUUAGAGUGUUUAAAGCAGGCGUUUGCUCAUUGAAUACAUUAGCAUGGAAUAAUAAGAUACGACCUUGGUGGUCUAUUUUGUUGGUUUGCACACCAGGGUAAUGAUUAAUAGGGACAGUUGGGGGUAUUCAUAUUUCAGCGUCAGAGGUGAAAUUCUUGGAUCGCUGAAAGAUGAGCUUAGGCGAAAGCAUUUACCAAGGAUGUUUUCA